GACAGGAAGGAGACUGCUAGGAGAUGACAACCAAGAUACUCCUUCAGGGCUGGUCUUGGGGAAUCUGGUGGGUCACUGUGGAGACUGUAAUGUUUAUUGAGUGACAUAGGGUCAUGGGAAGUUUCUGAGCAGAAGAGGUAAUUCCAUAAGGGGUGAGGGUGAAAACAGGGAGAUUAGACUAAGAGGCUCUUACAAAUUCCAAGCAAGAGAUGUUGGUGACUUUGACCAAGGAGAUCACAGUAGAGGUACAAGGGAUGUUUAGAUUAUGGAUAUACUAUUAAAGUAGAGCUGAUGAGAUUUACCGAGAAAUCGAACAGGCAUGUGAGUACAAGGUUUUAACCUUAUAACCUGAAAUAUAGUUAGACUCACUCUUUGAUUCUGUAUCAUGUGUAACAUUUUUAAAGUCGAUUUCUUGAAAUUGUCUAUGUAACCAAUCAUGUCAUCUGUGAACAGUUUUCCUUUCAAAUCUGCAAACCUUUUAUUUUUUUUUCUUAUUGCAAUAGCAAGGAACUUCAAUAUGAUUUUAAAGAGGAUUAUAGAGUGAACAACCUUUCCCUGAUCCUGAUCUUAGGGGGUACAGCAUUCAGUCUUUAGCCAUUAAGUAUCAUGUUAGCGGUGGUUUUGUUCUCUUGUAUAUUCAUUUGUUCAGGUAGAUUUAUUGCACAUUUGUGGUGCUGGGGAUGGAUCCCAGGGGUGGCACAGGCUAGGCAAGUGCUCUACCAUUGAGCUACAUUCCCAGCUCUUGAAAUUUUUUACAUUUUGACCAACAUGUCCCUUAGUUUCCUGUCCCUCAGCCUCUGGUAACCACCAGUCUAAUCUUUAAUUGCAUGAGAUCAAUGUUUUUAGAUUCCCCACAUAAGUGAGAUCAUGCAGAUUUGGUUUUCUAUGCCUGGCUUAUUUUAUGAAAUAAAAUAAGGUUCGUC
rnacentral:lncRNA from 1 species